AUUGAACGCUGGCGGCAGGCCUAACACAUGCAAGUCGAGCGGCAGCGGGAAAGUAGCUUGCUACUUUUGCCGGCGAGCGGCGGACGGGUGAGUAAUGCCUGGGAAAUUGCCCAGUCGAGGGGGAUAACAGUUGGAAACGACUGCUAAUACCGCAUACGCCCUACGGGGGAAAGCAGGGGACCUUCGGGCCUUGCGCGAUUGGAUAUGCCCAGGUGGGAUUAGCUAGUUGGUGAGGUAAUGGCUCACCAAGGCGACGAUCCCUAGCUGGUCUGAGAGGAUGAUCAGCCACACUGGAACUGAGACACGGUCCAGACUCCUACGGGAGGCAGCAGUGGGGAAUAUUGCACAAUGGGGGAAACCCUGAUGCAGCCAAGCCGCGUGUGUGAAGAAGGCCUUCGGGUUGUAAGGCACUUUCAGCGAGGAGGAAAGGUUGAUGCCUAAUACGUAUCAACUGUGACGUUACUCGCAGAAGAAGCACCGGCUAACUCCGUGCCAGCCGCCGCGGUAA
rnacentral:rRNA from 1 species